CACAUAUUCAUAUUUAAUCAAAUAUAACAAAUAAAUUUCAACCGUAAGAAUCCAACAUUGUGCAAGGUUGUUUCUUUUUUCUCCACUUGUGGAUUUCUUUUCAAGACAAUUAGAGUUGUAUUAAAUUGAAACAAGAAAAAUCAUGCUUAGAAUUAAAUCAACGAUGAAAUUGAGGGAACAAAUAUGUACAGUAUGUCAUGUGAUCCUUUUCAAGCCAAAAUACUGCCAUCUUUCCAAGUGAGGUGUUCAGGGUCAGCCAUAACUCUUCUUAAAUUGUACUAAACUGUACUUUUAGAGCUCCACUCAUGUAUACCCAACUUGACUUCUAAUUUUCCUUCUCCAGACAAAUACUCAGAAAAUUCAUUCUGAAUAAACUGUUUCUAAAUCCCACUCUGUACUGCUGAAAAUGCUAAGAGAUCAGAAUGAAACUCAAACCACCAGAUUCUGAUGCACUCUCUAGCCACGGUACUCUCUGGUACCUACUCUUCAACAACCUAAAAAGCCACCUAUAACAUAAAAUUUGAAAAGCAAGCGCCCAAAACCAGAGCCAGCCUGGUUGAUACAGUGAUUCACACACGGCACAAGGAAAAUGCAAUGAGACAAAGAAUUGCUCCUGGGGUACUCCAUCAACAGCUUGUAGUCAAGAUCACACAGAAAUAAACCUCAUUUUCUGUAAUGUGGGUAAGCAUCUUUUCACUUCCCACACUGCACCCUGCUUGCUAAGAGAACGCAUAACACUCCUAAUAAAAGCUCCCAUGCUCUCUUGGUUUCCAAGUGAGAAAAGAUGUCUGUGGUUUGCAUUGAAAACAGAUCAUUCCCCCCUUCCACUCUGCAAACUCAGACCGAACAAGUGGAGGAGAAAGACACCACACACUGGUGUCAAAAAGAUGGAAACUUCCCAACACUGCCAGAGAGGGGAACCCCGAGUUCCCAUUGCAGCGUUCCACACACAGCACUGGAAGCAGCCUAGCAAGACGCGUGGCCCUCCAACACUGCCAGCGAAGAAGAUCCCCACACAUCUGGCAGCAAGCCCUCCGCUCAUCCCCCGCCCUCUCUUGCCCACAGCACAAGGGGAAGUACAGAAAGAGGCUAUAACAGGAGAUCUCGCAGCACAGUCUAGGGGUUGUGUUACACCGACCUAUCGAUCAUGAUCUUGGGGUCUCCCAUCCAAGGAAUAAGGUGUCGCCCCUGCUCCUGGUACUGAGCCUUCUCAUCAUCUCGAAACAGCUUGCAGGCAUAGCCGAACACCAGCAGCUCCACACGGCUAUUCCCACCUCCACCUCCUCCUCCUCCGCCUCCUCCGGGGGGCCCGGGAGCCGCUCCCCCGCCUGACAACAACAUGAGGGGCGGCGGGCCUGCCUCUUCUGCGAUCCGUCGAGAGCCCCCGACCUCUCCGUAUAUCGACGGAGGGCGCGACCAGAAGGAGGAAACUCGCAGUAACAAUGACUGUCCGAGCUGCGAGUCCCCCAGGAGGCCGGGCCCGCGCUAAACUCCACAGCUCCAGGGCACCACAGUCGCCAUCACCCGAAACAAAAUGGCGAGCCUUCCGCUUCCGCUGGCCGGGCAGAGAGCUGCCUGGUUUCCGGCACUCGAUAGAUUCGCCUCAAAUUUCUGAGACUCUAGCGAGAAAUCAGACGAGCACGUAGCGAGAAAGGACUCUGUGCUGCCAAUGGCCGCGGUGAGGGUAGUUCGAGGCAGUGUGAGGCAGAACGGUCGGUUGUCUGGAGAGGAUUCUGACGUCAAGGGCGUGGCGAAAGUGCGGACAGGGGGUCUCGGGCCUGCUGAAGCGGCUUUCGUGUGUGCGUCAGGCAAAGAGCUGAGGCAGCCUUGCGGGGUGGUGCGCUGUGCUGAGGGAGCAGGCGCGGUCCCGCCGGCGGGAGCUGAGCGGGAUGAGAGGCGCGGCGGGACCCGCGGCCCCAGGACGUGCGGCUGUGAGGAAUUGCAGCCGUCGGAUUUGCUCACAGUGGGGGCACAGCAGCCCCAGAACCGGAGUGGGAGGUGGAUCGCUGCACUGAAGAAAAAUUUUUUCCAACAAUUGAUAAACUACACUUUUGCUAAAAUAUGUAAUCCAGACCAGAAUUUUCAGUAGUGUUUACUGUCAGCGUGAUGACUUUCUACGCCUCAGUAAAGCAGAGCUCUUCAAGAAUUCACUGUGAAGAAACGAUUUGUCUGUGUUGUAGUAAACGUUGCAAUUAAGCACAUCAUGUUUCCCAGUCUAUGGGGGUGAGUCCAUAGCCUUUGUUAACAACAGUGCUGGACACACCUUUUUUCUUUCUUCCUUUUUUUUUUUUUUUCUUAGUCAUCCUGUACAAAGAGUACUGGCAUCACUACACAGAAGGAAAGGGAGGAUAUAAAGCAGGCCAAGAAAAGCAGUGCGUGGACACUGGGAAGCAAACGUGCAGCUUGUGUCAGCAUCUAGAAAUACCCACUACCAUGUACAUGUAUUGAACAAAUGUAAAACUUUCUUUGGACAGUUUUUUUUUUUUUUCAAUUAUGGCCAUGCAACUGAAAACAGAAUCCGUUGGGAUUCCACCAUAUCUGUGACAGUGAACUGCAACGCUGAAGUAAACCACAUAACACUUCUAGGUAAUUGUGAUGUAAUGCCUGUGCACCUGCAAUUCCACAACCAAUAAAAGAUGGUUAAAAAGUGAAAUUCCUGAAGUUUACAGAUUUGCACCCCAGGAACAAACUUUGUGAUGAAUAUUGGAAGUUUUGGUAACUAUCUGAUGGCUUCACAGCCCUCAGUGAGGAAAGCUAUUUACGGUUGAUGCUUCAGACGUAUCUUGCUGUCUCUUAAAAAUAAUGACUGAGUUGUUCUAACAAAGAGAGUAGUUAUUAUUGUGUUCCUCUUUGAAAAUAUGGGUACCAAGGAGAUGCAUGGGAGCAGGCUUGAACAUCACCCCACCACGUUGUGCCCUUUUGAAAACUUGGAGUACAAAAAAAGAGCAGGAAAAAACAUCAGAAGUUAAAAGGACGAACAAUAGACUGUUUAUGAGAGAGUGUAAGAAAGUAAUUAAAUAUUGAUAUGUGGUGAUUUCAUUUCCUCCUUAAGUCUGGUAACGCAAAUGUCUCAGCAUAAAGAUAAUGUGGCACUGAAAUGGCUCUGAGCAGCUGAAGUGAUCAUGUAAUAAGUGAACUUCAGAAUAUUUUACCAGGAUAUCAGCAUUUGAGAUGAAUGUGCGAGCUGUGCAUGAGUCAGAUAAAGGACAAACGUGGAAAUCUUAGUUACAAAGAAUGCAAUUACAGAAAGAUGGAGGGAGUAUUCUAAUGAGCUCUUUAAUGGUGAAAUGGAUAAAGGCAAGCAAACAGCAGAUUUCCAGCCAGCUGAGCUAUUUGUAGAAGAAUCAAGAGGCAAUCAGGACACCCAGGAACAAUACGGCACCAGGUGCUGAUAGUGUUUUCACUGAAUUAUUAAAAACAGGAGGGGAUGUGCUAACUCCAAGACUAUAAAAGCUAAUUUGUGUUAAUUUGGUGAUGUGAAAAUAAUGUAGAGAAAUGGGUAAGGGUGUAUCUGUUUUUGAAAAAGGAUAAAGUGAGACCUAACGGCUCUGGCAUCAUCUCACUGUUUAUUACAGCGUGUGAUGUUCUAGGUUAUUUGUUUCCGUGCAGUUAGCCUUCUCAAAGAACAGGAGUACAGCACAAUGAUUAUUUUCAAAUUGUAAAGUACUCAAGGGAAAAUGUAGGAACACGAACAGGCUACAUAUAGAGAUCUUAAUUUAAGAAAGCACAUGAUGGUACAUCUGCGCUGUAAUAAAAAUAUCUAUGACAGAUUAUUUUUUCAGUGUGUGUAAGUAAACUAUCCCAUUUUUAUUUUUUAUUCUAAUAUACAUCAUCAUCAUAGUCAGAAAGGAAACUUGGUGCUAUUUGUAGGGUGUGUUGUGUUUUCUUAUUUACUGCAUUUAAAGACAUUCAACUUUAAUAAGAAAAUACAACCUGAAAUGGUGGUAGGCUUCUGUUUUAAAGUCUUUAUAUAGUAGAAUGUCCAUGUUAUUUCAUGUAGAUGCUCAGUUCUAGCUGAACUGGCUGGGAGGAAGAGUAGCUAGCUGUAACAAAUAAAAAUAUGAAUCUCUCUUGAUUUUUCAUUCUGUUGCAGAUAGGAAGCCCUUAUUUUUUGGGCUGAUAUCUAUCAUUUUUUCCUCCAUCACAGUAGAACUGUAGUCAUGUAGUAUCAUGCAGUUUACCUUUAGCUAAAAGUGUAGAAAACCAUAGUAUAUCUCAGUUCUGAUGUAGGUUUGAAAGAAAAGUGUGUUGGGCUGAUUCUAAAGAAAAAUACUAUUUGCCUCACUUUUUUGUCCUUCAGUGAUAUAAAAGAAAUUUCAAGCGUACCAAAAGAAUGCAUCCAAUGUUGUUCCAGUCAAACAGGAAUAAAGAAAUCUUGAGUGCUGAAGUUAAGAGACCUUACUGGAAACUAAGCAAAGACAGGUGCAAUUUGUCAUCAUCCAUAGCACACAACUAUUGCCUUUCUCAUUCACACUUUGUCUGGGAUCAAGUGGUGAACAUGGGAGGCCAUUGGAGCUGUCAGACCUUGAUGCUGGAUCUGCUGUGUAUGAAUUGUUAGCGUUUCCAUGGUGCAAUAACAAAAAAGCUCAGUGCAACGGUUCAUUGAAGUGUGCUUAAAUGCUUCAUCCUCUGCUGUUUGAUUAAGGUAACGUCUAUUUCUGAAAACGGAUGAAGAUGGAGAAGAAACCUGUACUUACAGGCAUGCACUUAUACUCAGUGAUUUGUAGGGGGUGUGGAACUAGAUGAUCUUUAAAGUCCCUUCCAACCUAAGCUAUUCUAUGAUUUAUUUCAAAUACUUCAAUCUGCAAAAAAUGUUAAUAAAGCUUCGAGUAAUAAAUUCUGAUAUAGAAUGCCUCUUUCAUCACCUAAUCAUCAUUUUCUACUCAGAAAUAUCUCAACACUGACUGGUUCAAAGUGGUGCUUGUCCUGCUGCUUUCCUCUAUUGGUGUUGUUUUCCACAGCUUUUUUCUCCUGUUUCUAAUUACUCCGUUUCAUAAUGUAUAAUUCUGUGUGUAAGGCUCAAAGCGUUGUUGCUCUCAGCGGAAAAAAACUGAGCUACCACAUCUGGAAGAAAAACAGUCCAGGUUCUCUUGAUGCUUCUUGAAGAUGCCCUUCUGCCCAGUGCAAUGGUUAUGGUUUUCUUAACUUGAGAGUGAACUGCUGAAGACGUUGCAGACAAUAUGCCUUACCUGUACUGGAGAAGCAAAAAUGAAUGCUUCAUUGUGCUGAGUGAGUUAGUAGAAUAUUCUGUGGUUACUACAGGCACACAGACAAGAUGCAUUUACCAUCUCCAUACUGUGUGCAAUUUUAGCAUCUAGGGAAUGUAUACAUAAUAAGAGGUCAGUAUUGAUCAGCAUGAUAAGUUGAAGUCUCAGCAUACAAGCAAUCCAAGUCUUAAGUCAUUUUUCUUAUUUUGGUAGGCAUCAUAAUACAGGAAAUCUUCAGAGGGAGAUGGCAGCCUAGCAUCUGCAUCUGUGCAGCCCAAACGAUCUGUGUAUCAGUACUGCUGCCCACGCAUGUUGUGCCUGUGCUAGUCCAGCUAUAAGAUGAGACUUUCAGUAAAGUUUUCUUCAUGGCUUUUUAGUGUUUGCAAUCCUAAAUCUUUUUUUAUUCACAUUUUGAAUGUGAAUAUGUGUGUACUGAAAGCAUUCAAUCUCAUCCUAGAAUUAUUCAGUUACACUGUGAUUCUGGUUCUUUAAUAAUCUGAAGUGUCAAAGAAAAACUUUAAAAGAAAUAGGUAUGUUGAAGGUCACUCAGUGUUAACUUCGUCAGUAAGCCCAAGGGUUUCUACUGCUAUAGACCUAAGGCAGAAGGACUCGAUAAUUAGCUCUGUAUCACUUCUGUUCUGAUCUGCAUAAACUUGUUCAUAUCUUACCUUGUUAAAUAGGUGUCAGAGUGAAGGAGAGUACACCUAAAUGUUGUUAACACAGAAAGGAAAUAAAUGCUGCUCAGCAGUCGCUCAUUCCAGAAGUUCCUUCCAGUAAAGGUAAUUUACAUUCAGUACCUUGGUGGCUUCUGGUUAAGAACUUAAGGGUUUGAAAUAUUGGAUUAGACAGCUGGUUCGUGUUUCAAAGGGAAAUAAAGCAAUAACAUAAUGUACGUGUUUGAUGUGUCUUGGGAAAUAAAAUUAAUGUCUUAGAGAUCUAAUUUAUGGCAUAUGCAGCAGUAUUUUGGUAAUGGGCACUCAAGUUAGGGUGGACAACAAUAACAUGCAAACUGAAAUAAGAAUGUUAAUUAUGCAUGUUAUACUAUAUUGUAAAACUGCUUUAACUCUUUGUUCUAAUGAUAAAACCAAGUAAAUAAAUAGAAUCAGACACACAAAUCCCUAAGGUCUGGAAUAAUUAAACUCUUCUUCAUGUCCUGGGUUGCUAUUUCACAGAAAACAUCUAAUUUUCCAGGAUGCUUUAAUGUUGAUUUCUGGAAGCUUUAUGCAGUUUCUAAAUAAUCACUUUCUGGAAGGAGAAGCAUCUUCAGAAAAUUGUAACAGAUAAAAAGUUCUGAAAGACAUAGAAUAUCCAGCGCAAGGAUUUAGCUUAAGCCUUAAGUAACUUUGACAGACUUCAUAGUCACUGUUUCAGACAGCAGGUUGAACUGAUGACCUCCUGUGGUCUCUUCUAAUGUGAAUUAUCCUGUGAAUCCACCUGUCUUUUCCACUGACGCUUACUUGGUGUGAGGAAUACAGGAUCCCAUUAAUUUCAAGUAGGUCUCCUGGGCAUGCAGGUAGUGAGGAGUAGGGAGUGGGGACUAUGCUGCUAUAAAACCAAAAUGAGCUUUAGGGAUUUUAUUUGUUUUUUAAGUUUUCCUCUAUAGUGUUUCACUUGUUCACCAGCAUUUUGACUGAGGCUACAUUUUUCUUUAUUAUCAAGGCUGAAAUAAAAACCAUGCAAUACAGGAAGCUAGCACUGCUGAAGGAUCCUCAUUUUUUUUCCCCCAUCUUUUCAGAGCAGUUACUCUUUCCCUGUUGCAUUUCUUGGGAACUCACUGUUGCCAGCAAAUGAGAUGACAAGCUUCAAGAUUAGCAUUUCAUUGAGCAACAUGGACAGUAGUACAGCUACAUGAAUCACUUUUCUGCACUUCUGCCAAGAUGCCAAUCAAUGAAAAGCUCUUAAUGUUAAAUAGCAUAAAUGGGUGUGUAACCUGCAUGAAUGAGAGAGUGUGAUUGUCUUGCUAGCAACAGGGGAAUGAAGAGCACUUAAUUCCUUAAAUUUCUGUUCUUGUUUUGUGACCCAAGUGUGGAUUUAAAGGGCCUUGACAAGGAGUACCAGAGGAAAGCUAUCAAGGAUUACACUGUAUUAAUAAUUGGUUGUGUUUUUACUUGUGAAUAUUGAUCUCUGGACUUCUGUGUGAAUGCAGAGACCAGCGAAGGGACUGAGUUUGAGCUGCAAAGCUAAGUGAACAUCAGCCAGCUUUGAUCACUGAGCUGAGUGGUUGAGGUGCAAACCAGGCAUUGAACUAUACCAGGUGAAAACUUUAUGCAAAAUGCAGACAUUAAGCUGAAGUUGUAGAACAUAUUUUCUUUUAAAACACAGAGGCUCAAACUGAAAGCCUUUGUGGGAGGUCUUUGACAGCAGAACAAAUGCUUCAAACAUAGGUAAAUAUCAAUUUGUGUAAACAGGACAUCAGGAUUAGAAAAAUCCUGGAACUCUUCAAAAGGUAAAUCUGCAUUGUGAUUUUAGACAGCGGCCUAAAAUGGGAGGCUUUCCUCCACAAUGGAAGAAGACCUUAAGAAAAAGCUGCUGUCAGACCUAGCAACUUCUGAGCAAAUCCGAAGGAACCUAAAUUUACUGUGCUCAAAAAAUUACAUGAUUUAACAGAGACAGAAUGGGAUCAUCUUUAUCCCAUAUGUGACAGAGCAAAGACACUUUGCUUUUUUGGUUGUUUAGUAUCUGGGUGAUUCCUGACAACCUGCUGUCUUGAUAAUACUUGUUUCUGG
rnacentral:lncRNA from 1 species